UGGGGUAUAGCCAAGUGGUAAGGCAACGGUUUUUGGAUCCGUCAUGCGUUGGUUCGAAUCCAACUACCCCAG
rnacentral:tRNA from 1 species